UACAGAGGGUGCAAGCGUUGCUCGGAAUCAUUGGGCGUAAAGGGUAGGUAGGUGGUCUCAUUUGUCUGGGGUGAAAGCCUUCGGCUUAACCGAAGAAGUGCCCCGGAAACGGUGAGACUAGAGUCCUGGAGAGGUUAGCGGAAUUCCCGGUGUAGCGGUGAAAUGCGUAGAGAUCGGGAGGAACACCAGAGGCGAAGGCGGCUAACUGGACAGGCACUGACACUCAACUACGAAAGCGUGGGGAGCAAACAGG
rnacentral:rRNA from 1 species